GGGUGCGAUGCUACUAGAACUAAUGCACCAGAUCCCAUUCGAACUCCGAAGGUAAGCGUGCUUGGCUGAGAGUAGUAUUUGUAUGGGUGACCUCCUAGGAAGUCCUCGUGUUGCACCCC
rfam:Gossypium arboreum cultivar AKA8401 contig_70488_1, whole genome shotgun sequence.